GAGUUUGAUCAUGGCUCAGAUUGAACGCUGGCGGCAGGCCUAACACAUGCAAGUCGAACGGUAACAGGAAUCAGCUUGCUGAUUCGCUGACGAGUGGCGGACGGGUGAGUAAUGUCUGGGAAACUGCCUGAUGGAGGGGGAUAACUACUGGAAACGGUAGCUAAUACCGCAUAACGUCGCAAGACCAAAGAGGGGGACCUUCGGGCCUCUUGCCAUCGGAUGUGCCCAGAUGGGAUUAGCUUGUUGGUGGGGUAACGGCUCACCAAGGCGACGAUCCCUAGCUGGUCUGAGAGGAUGACCAGCCACACUGGAACUGAGACACGGUCCAGACUCCUACGGGAGGCAGCAGUGGGGAAUAUUGCACAAUGGGCGCAAGCCUGAUGCAGCCAUGCCGCGUGUAUGAAGAAGGCCUUCGGGUUGUAAAGUACUUUCAGCGGGGAGGAAGGGAGUAAAGUUAAUACCUUUGCUCAUUGACGUUACCCGCAGAAGAAGCACCGGCUAACUCCGUGCCAGCAGCCGCGGUAAUACGGAGGGUGCAAGCGUUAAUCGGAAUUACUGGGCGUAAAGCGCACGCAGGCGGUUUGUUAAGUCAGAUGUGAAAUCCCCGGGCUCAACCUGGGAACUGCAUCUGAUACUGGCAAGCUUGAGUCUCGUAGAGGGGGGUAGAAUUCCAGGUGUAGCGGUGAAAUGCGUAGAGAUCUGGAGGAAUACCGGUGGCGAAGGCGGCCCCCUGGACGAAGACUGACGCUCAGGUGCGAAAGCGUGGGGAGCAAACAGGAUUAGAUACCCUGGUAGUCCACGCCGUAAACGAUGUCGACUUGGAGGUUGUGCCCUUGAGGCGUGGCUUCCGGAGCUAACGCGUUAAGUCGACCGCCUGGGGAGUACGGCCGCAAGGUUAAAACUCAAAUGAAUUGACGGGGGCCCGCACAAGCGGUGGAGCAUGUGGUUUAAUUCGAUGCAACGCGAAGAACCUUACCUGGUCUUGACAUCCACAGAACUUUCCAGAGAUGGAUUGGUGCCUUCGGGAACUGUGAGACAGGUGCUGCAUGGCUGUCGUCAGCUCGUGUUGUGAAAUGUUGGGUUAAGUCCCGCAACGAGCGCAACCCUUAUCCUUUGUUGCCAGCGGUCCGGCCGGGAACUCAAAGGAGACUGCCAGUGAUAAACUGGAGGAAGGUGGGGAUGACGUCAAGUCAUCAUGGCCCUUACGACCAGGGCUACACACGUGCUACAAUGGCGCAUACAAAGAGAAGCGACCUCGCGAGAGCAAGCGGACCUCAUAAAGUGCGUCGUAGUCCGGAUUGGAGUCUGCAACUCGACUCCAUGAAGUCGGAAUCGCUAGUAAUCGUGGAUCAGAAUGCCACGGUGAAUACGUUCCCGGGCCUUGUACACACCGCCCGUCACACCAUGGGAGUGGGUUGCAAAAGAAGUAGGUAGCUUAACCUUCGGGAGGGCGCUUACCACUUUGUGAUUCAUGACUGGGGUGAAGUCGUAACAAGGUAACCGUAGGGGAACCUGCGGUUGGAUCACC
rnacentral:rRNA from 2 species